GAUGAACGCUGGCGGCGUGCCUAACACAUGCAAGUCGAACGGAAUUUACAUGAAGCCUAGCGAUUGUAAAUUUAGUGGCGGACGGGUGAGUAACGCGUGGGUAACCUGCCUUGUACUGGGGGACAACAGUUGGAAACGACUGCUAAUACCGCAUAAGCGCACAGCUUCGCAUGAAGCAGUGUGAAAAACUCUGGUGGUACAAGAUGGACCCGCGUCUGAUUAGCUGGUUGGUGAGGUAACGGCCCACCAAGGCGACGAUCAGUAGCCGGCCUGAGAGGGUGAACGGCCACAUUGGGACUGAGACACGGCCCAAACUCCUACGGGAGGCAGCAGUGGGGAAUAUUGGCACAAUGGGGGAAACCCUGAUGCAGCAACGCCGCGUGAGUGAAGAAGUAUUCGGUAUGUAAAGCUCUAUCAGCAGGAAGAAAUGACGGUACUCAACAAGGAAGUGACGGCUAACUACGUGCCAGCAGCCGCGGU
rnacentral:rRNA from 1 species